CUGCCGAACGAGCUCGUGUUCGAUAUCCUGUCCAGGAUCCCAGAGAGGUCCGUGCGCCGGUUCCGGUGUGUGUCCAAGGAGUGGCAUGCCCUCGUCACUGCCCCCGCCUUCGUCGCAGCGCACAAGUCCCGCGUCGAGCCAUUCCUCGUCGUGUACUCCGAUCCCUGCGAGGGCCUGCGACUGAUCGAUAUGGAUGGCAACGUCGUAAGGUUGAUCAGCGACAUGCGUGGGUGUUGGAGUCCGGUGUUCACGAGCCCCGAUGGCAUUCUAUGUGUCACUGGCUAUCUGGAUAGCUAUCCGGGUACCGCUGUUUUUGCCGGGUUGAUCGACCUUGCCACCAUGGAGGCGGUUGUCACCCGCUUAGAAGACAAUAAAGCCUGGGGCUUCGGUCGUGCCAUCCCGUCAGACAUGUAUAAGAUUGUGCGCUUCCGAGACCACAUCAAGGGAUGUUAUUGUGAGGUUUACACGAUAGGGAAUGGUGCCGGGUGGAGACAGAGGAAAUCACACCCAUUGCAUUACAAAUACGAUAGUUUUGAAAACUAUGCCGCUACGGUCAAUGGUGUGUUGUAUUUGUUGGCAAGGAAGAAGCCACAGAUGGACUAUGUACUCUGCUUUGACCUCGAGAGUGAGGAGUGGAAGAAUAAUAUCAAAGGCCCACCAACUGUGGACAUCUGGGGGCAUGAUAUCAGCUUAGGCGAGCUUAAGGACACUUUGUAUAUGGCUGAAAAGAAGAACUGGGAAACCGAUCAUGGGUAUACAAACGUAUGGCUCCUGACUGAUUUUGAUAUGAGUAUCUGGAUCAAGGCAUAUACGAUACAAUUGGAGCCGUCCAUGCUCCCAUAUGCUCCCAUGUUUUGCCGGAUGAUACCUUUGAGGGUGUUGCAUGACAGUUCAAAGCUGCUCUUCUACUACGGUUCUAGAUAUGUAUUAUUUGUGUUACGAGGAGCACAGUUACAAAUCUAUGACCCUCAUUCUGAGACAUGCACAGAUGUGACAGAACAACUGCUCGGUGACCAUGGCACCGUUGUCGGCUUUUGCAGCUCGCACUUGGAGCGUUUA
rnacentral:rRNA from 1 species